rnacentral:rRNA from 1 species
UGCAAGUCGAGCGGUAACAUUUCAAAAGCUUGCUUUUGAAGAUGACGAGCGGCGGACGGGUGAGUAAUGCCUGGGAAUAUGCCUUGAUGUGGGGGAUAACCAUUGGAAACGAUGGCUAAUACCGCAUAAUGCCUACGGGCCAAAGAGGGGGAUCUUCGGACCUCUCGCGUCAAGAUUAGCCCAGGUGGGAUUAGCUAGUUGGUGAGGUAAUGGCUCACCAAGGCGACGAUCCCUAGCUGGUCUGAGAGGAUGAUCAGCCACACUGGAACUGAGACACGGUCCAGACUCCUACGGGAGGCAGCAGUGGGGAAUAUUGCACAAUGGGCGCAAGCCUGAUGCAGCCAUGCCGCGUGUGUGAAGAAGGCCUUCGGGUUGUAAAGCACUUUCAGUCGUGAGGAAGGUAGUUGCGUUAAUAGCGUAAUUAUUUGACGUUAGCGACAGAAGAAGCACCGGCUAACUCCGUGCCAGCAGCCGCGGUAAUACGGAGGGUGCGAGCGUUAAUCGGAAUUACUGGGCGUAAAGCGCAUGCAGGUGGUUUGUUAAGUCAGAUGUGAAAGCCCGGGGCUCAACCUCGGAAUUGCAUUUGAAACUGGCAGACUAGAGUACUGUAGAGGGGGGUAGAAUUUCAGGUGUAGCGGUGAAAUGCGUAGAGAUCUGAAGGAAUACCGGUGGCGAAGGCGGCCCCCUGGACAGAUACUGACACUCAGAUGCGAAAGCGUGGGGAGCAAACAGGAUUAGAUACCCUGGUAGUCCACGCCGUAAACGAUGUCUACUUGGAGGUUGUGGCCUUGAGCCGUGGCUUUCGGAGCUAACGCGUUAAGUAGACCGCCUGGGGAGUACGGUCGCAAGAUUAAAACUCAAAUGAAUUGACGGGGGCCCGCACAAGCGGUGGAGCAUGUGGUUUAAUUCGAUGCAACGCGAAGAACCUUACCUACUCUUGACAUCCAGAGAAGCCAGCGGAGACGCAGGUGUGCCUUCGGGAACUCUGAGACAGGUGCUGCAUGGCUGUCGUCAGCUCGUGUUGUGAAAUGUUGGGUUAAGUCCCGCAACGAGCGCAACCCUUAUCCUUGUUUGCCAGCGAGUAAUGUCGGGAACUCCAGGGAGACUGCCGGUGAUAAACCGGAGGAAGGUGGGGACGACGUCAAGUCAUCAUGGCCCUUACGAGUAGGGCUACACACGUGCUACAAUGGCGCAUACAGAGGGCUGCCAACCAGCGAUGGUGAGCGAAUCCCAAAAAGUGCGUCGUAGUCCGGAUUGGAGUCUGCAACUCGACUCCAUGAAGUCGGAAUCGCUAGUAAUCGUGGAUCAGAAUGCCACGGUGAAUACGUUCCCGGGCCUUGUACACACCGCCCGUCACACCAUGGGAGUGGGCUGCAAAAGAAGUGGGUAGUUUAACCUUUCGAGGAGGACGCUCACCA